rnacentral:rRNA from 1 species
GAUGAACGCUGGCGGCGUGCUUAACACAUGCAAGUCGAACGGAAAGGCCAGUGCUUGCACUGGUACUCGAGUGGCGAACGGGUGAGUAACACGUGGGUGAUCUGCCCUGCACUUCGGGAUAAGCCUGGGAAACUGGGUCUAAUACCGGAUAGGACAAUGGUUUGGAUGCCGUUGUGGAAAGUUUUUUCGGUGUGGGAUGAGCUCGCGGCCUAUCAGCUUGUUGGUGGGGUAAUGGCCUACCAAGGCGUCGACGGGUAGCCGGCCUGAGAGGGUGUACGGCCACAUUGGGACUGAGAUACGGCCCAGACUCCUACGGGGGGCAGCAGUGGGGAAUAUUGCACAAUGGGCGCCAGCCUGAUGCAGCGACGCCGCGUGGGGGAUGACGGCCUUCGGGUUGUAAACUCCUUUCGCUAGGGACGAAGCGUAUUUGUGACGGUACCUGGAGAAGAAGCACCGGCUAACUACGUG